AUGACCUCAGUCACUAAUCUGGGGUUGCUGCUGCUCUGGCUUACAGGUGCCAGAUGUGAAAUCCAGAUGACCCAGUCUCCAGCCUCCCUGCCCGUGUCUCUGGGAAACAGUUUAACCAUCAAAUGCCAGGCAAGUCAAGACAUAUACAAUCAUUUAGCAUGGUAUCAGCAGAAACCAGGGAAAUCUCCCAAGCUCCUGAUCUAUGCUGCAAACAGCUUGGUAAAUGAGGUCCCAUCGAGGUUCAGUGGCAGUGGAUCUGGCACAGAGUAUUCUUUCAAGAUUGGUGGCCUGCAGUCAGAAGAUGUUGCAACUUAUUACUGUAUACAAUAUAAAUAUACGCCUCCCACAGUGAUACAAGCUAGGACAUAA